rnacentral:rRNA from 1 species
GACGAACGCUGGCGGCGUGCUUAACACAUGCAAGUCGAACGGAAAGGCCCUGCUUUUUUGGUGUGCUCGAGUGGCGAACGGGUGAGUAACACGUGAGUAACCUGCCCUUGACUUUGGGAUAACUUCAGGAAACUGGGGCUAAUACCGGAUAGGAUCUCCUGCUGCAUGGUGGGGGUUGGAAAGUUUCGGCGGUUGGGGAUGGACUCGCGGCUUAUCAGCUUGUUGGUGGGGUAGUGGCUUACCAAGGCUUUGACGGGUAGCCGGCCUGAGAGGGUGACCGGCCACAUUGGGACUGCGAUACGGCCCAGACUGCUACGGGAGGCAGCAGUGGGGAAUAUUGCCCAAUGGGAGGAAGCCUGAUGCAGAAACGCCGCGUGCGGGAUGACGGCCUUCGGGUUGUAAACCGCUUUCGCCUGUGACGAAGCGUGAGUGACGGUAAUGGGUAAAGAAGCACCGGCUAACUACGUG